rnacentral:rRNA from 1 species
CCGGCACGGGUGAGUAACACGUAUCCAACCUGCCGUCUACUCUUGGCCAGCCUUCUGAAAGGAAGAUUAAUCCAGGAUGGCAUCAUGAGUCACAUGUCCGCAUGAUUAAAGGUAUUUUCCGGUAGACGAUGGGGAUGCGUUCCAUUAGAUAGUAGGCGGGGUAACGGCCCACCUAGUCAACGAUGGAUAGGGGUUCUGAGAGGAAGGUCCCCCACAUUGGAACUGAGACGCGGUCCAA